rnacentral:lncRNA from 1 species
CGGGUCCCUUCCCGGCAUCCCCCGCGGCGGUAGCGGAGGCAGUCCCUGUUCCGUGACCUUCGGUGGCAACCGCGCUCUCCCGGCCUAACGAUGGUGCAAAAUAUGAUUCCAAAGUCAUGGAGAGCCAUGAAAUUCUACUUCACUACUGUUUACCAAGAAAUAUGGGUUGGUCUAGCAUUAACAGCGUAUGCCUAUUACAAAAUUUCGUACGGUGGUA